rnacentral:rRNA from 1 species
GACGGGUGAGUAACGCGUAGGAACCUACCCAGUAGUUCGGGAUAGCCCAGAGAAAUUUGGAUUAAUACCGGAUACGCCCUACGGGGGAAAGGGGGCUUCGGCUCUCGCUAUUGGAUGGGCCUGCGUGAGAUUAGCUUGUUGGUGAGGUAAGAGCUCACCAAGGCAACGAUCUCUAGCUGGUCUGAGAGGAUGAUCAGCCACACUGG